rnacentral:lncRNA from 1 species
UUUUAUCUUCUGCCUUUCUCCAGAAGCUUCCCAUUCUCUCUCUGUAUCGCUUCAUGUUCAUCUUCAUCUUCUCUGAUUUUCAUCUUCAAAUCUUCAUGUUUUCAUGGUAUCAGAGGAGGAAAAUCUUCUGAUCCUUCUCUGUUAUGUGUUAUCGAUACUUGAUGAAGUUUUUGCUGAAGUUUUUUUUCGGUUAUCUGAGAAAAAUACUGUUUGUAUAUUUUUUUCCGAUGAAUGUUAAUCGGUUAAUCGGGACUUUUCUAACUGUUUGAGGCUCCGAUCUUGUAUCAGUAGAUGUUUUGGGUGAUUUUCCGACAUCUCUGAUUUUGUUCCGACGAGUUCUUCAAAUUCUAGGGUUUUCCAACUUUCGGACCUAGAGCUUUGGUGUUAUCCGAUGACUUUGUCUUUGCUUGAUAGACGUUUUGGGUAACUUUCCGGUGUUUGUGACCUUAUUCCGGUGAGUUUCAAAACCUACGGUUUCCGGUGUUGGACCUAAGGUUUUCUCUGUUGAUUGAAGGCCGCAUGACUUUCUCUUCGCCUGAUGGACAUUUUGGGUAACUUUCCGGUGUCUGUGACCUUAUUCCGGUGAGUUUCAGAACCUAGGGUUUCCGGUGUUGGACCUAGGGUUUUCUCUGUUGAUUGAAGGCCGAUCUUCUCUGGUCGCGAAGAAAGAGGGUAACUCUGUCUUUAUUUUGAGUAUUGUAUUGCUUUGUAUGUGAGUAUCUGGUUCCGCAUGUGAGUAUCUGGUUCCGUUACAUUUUGCUUGUCGAAACUGUUUUUCUUUCAAGCUGGUUCAUUAAUCAUGACUUUUAAUACCAAUGCUGGUACCUCCUCCUCGGUAGACUCUACCAGCCCCCUCUUUGUGUAUUCCUCUUAUGUCCCUGGGGUCUCUCUUGUCCCCACUCCCUUCUCGGGUAGUGGUUAUGGGGGUUGGAGGAGAAAAAUGAUUAAUACCAAUGCUGGUACCUCCUCCUAGGUAGACUCUACCAACCCCCUCUUUGUAUAUUCCUCUAAUGUCCCUGGGUUCUCUCUUGUCCCCACUCCCUUCUCGGGUAGUGGUUAUAGGGUUGGAGGAGAAAAAUGAUUGUCGCAUUAUUUGCUAACAACAAAAUCGGAUUUGUUGACAGCUCAUGUCCUCGACCAACCUCUAAUGUGGCUCAACAGAGGCUGUGGGAUAGAUGUAAUAACAUGGUCAUUUCCUGGUUGACCUCUUCCCUAUCUCCUCAGAUUUCUGAUAGUGCAGUAUUCCGAUACUGCACAGAGUAUAUGGUCCCAAAUUGAGAAAAGAUAUGGUAUCCAUAACAAGACCAAUAUUUUUGAAUUAAAAAAGGAACUUUCCCCCACAUCUCAAGGCUGCUUAGACGUAGCCUCAUACUUUAACCAGCUCAAAGGCCUGUGGGAUGAGUUGGGC